rnacentral:lncRNA from 1 species
UAACAAUGUGUUAAAUGUUUUUGUAGGUUUGGAGUAAUAAGGGGUGGAGUGUUUGUUAACACAUCUCUUUUGUAGGGAGGCGUAGGAAUGUAUGCCUAUAUGGAUGAAAUUGAAGUGUUGUUUGGAUAUCAAUCGAUGUGUGUGCCUUUAUACUUGUCUUAGCACUACACAUUUACACACACAACCCGCGAUCUAAAACCCCGAUCGCAUUAGGAAGCCCAUAGAAGGUGCCGAAGGAUGGAACCCGUGCGGGGAAUGACCUAUGGUUAUCCACUUUUGGUCCUGCUCAUUUUGAUUAAUGAUAAAGAGAACUAUCCGACGUAAGCGCGGAGUGGGGAAAACUCUUUUGAUCUAAUCAAAAUGGGGACUUUAAGCCUUUAGAAUUCCACCUUUAUGCGUCAAACCUCACAAGUUUACAUCCGCAUGUUUACGUGAUUGAAAAAAAAAUGUCUCUUCACCCAUUGUAAGUAUGAUUUCUCUAUCUACUUGCUCACUUCGGAUUGAAAUUUUCAUUUUUUGAGAUUCGCGGAAAUCAAUGGAAUGCCCUUAGCGAUAUAGGCUUGGCUCUCACUCUUAAUAAAUAAACAUUUCAAAUACCUUUGAUCUAACCCCAUAAAACAAAUGUUUUUGUUUUCAAUUGUGAACUCAAAGUCACAUUUUGUAUAGAAAUUCUUCCAAGUCAAGAUUACAUUUUGGGGCAUAGAAUUAAAAUCAAAUUUUCAAUAAAAUUCUUUCUCGGUCACAUUCCGAAAUUAAAAUUCAAAUCACAUUUUGUGUAUUGAUUUCUCAAAAUAAAAAUCACCUCACCUUUGCAUGAGUGAAAUUACAAACUAAUCUUUCAAAAUCAAUGCCCCAUUUGUGUAUGAAACUUUUGGAACAGAGUGGGCAUUCAAUUGAUAGCCGUGGAUCGAUCUUUUAAUGAAAUCUCCUCUUACUAAUAAAAUCUUGAUGAAAUACCAAAUUUUCGUAAAUGGAUACUACGAAGAAGGUAUCGUCGCCUUGAUUUCAUUGUAAGAGGCGGCUUUAUUGAAAGAUCAAUUUUUCAUCCAUGUACUAACAUUAUCUUCCUUUCGCAGGUCAUGCGUGACAACCAUUCCUUGAACUCCUCUUGCUUGACCAUGCCAAAAGUGGACUUUAAAGCUAGGACGAUAAUUGUGCUUAUUAUGAUCCUCUACGAAAGAGCUUCUUGUACUUUAUCAUUGUCAUUAGGAACCAUGUUUUGUGUUUUGGGUUUUAAUUGUGAACCCAAUCAAAUGCUUUUUGUAAAUCAUACAACUCACAUUUUUUUAAUAAUGAAAUUAGAGUUCAUAAAAGUUAUAUUCUUUAAAACACUUGAAGUGUUUCAAACGGACCCU